AAAAAAGAUGACUAUGCUGUAAAAGAGAAGCCAUUGCUAGUUGAGGAUAUGCAGGGAGGCGCAGAUCACAUAGUUCUGAAAAAUUUGGACACAGAUAGUAUUCGUAUAAUAAGCAGUGUGCUUGGCCAAAGUAUUGCCCUUGAUUACUUUGUCUCACAGGUUGAUGGUAUGGUUGAAGAGUUUGCUGGGAUAAAUCGUGAAAUGGAGAAAACAGGGACUUUCACAAUGACAAGGAAGAAAUUGUUCCAACUUGUGGGCAAGGCUAACUCAAAUAUAGCUGAUGUAAUUUUGAAAGUAGGUAUCUUUGAAAGAUCUGAAAUUGCUUGGAGAGAU
rnacentral:misc_RNA from 1 species